rnacentral:rRNA from 1 species
GACGAACGCUGGCGGCGUGCUUAACACAUGCAAGUCGAACGGAAAGGCCCUGCUUUUGUGGGGUACUCGAGUGGCGAACGGGUGAGUAACACGUGAGUAACCUGCCCUUGACUUUGGGAUAACUUCAGGAAACUGGGGCUAAUACCGGAUAGGAGCUCCUGCUGCAUGGUGGGGGUUGGAAAGUUUCGGCGGUUGGGGAUGGACUCGCGGCUUAUCAGCUUGUUGGUGGGGUAGUGGCUUACCAAGGCUUUGACGGGUAGCCGGCCUGAGAGGGUGACCGGCCACAUUGGGACUGAGAUACGGCCCAGACUCCUACGGGAGGCAGCAGUGGGGAAUAUUGCACAAUGGGCGGAAGCCUGAUGCAGCAACGCCGCGUGCGGGAUGAUGGCCUUCGGGUUGUAAACCGCUUUCGCCUGUGACGAAGCGUGAGUGACGGUAAUGGGUAAAGAAGCACCGGCUAACUACGUG